rnacentral:rRNA from 1 species
CACAGAGGGUGAGAAUCCCGUAUGUGACCGGUGACCGAUCCCAUGUGAAACCCCUUCGACGAGUCGAGUUGUUUGGGAAUGCAGCUCAAAAUGGGUGGUAAAUUUCAUCUAAAGCUAAAUACUGGCUGGAGACCGAUAGCGCACAAGUAGAGUGAUCGAAAGAUGAAAAGCACUUUGGAAAGAGAGUCAAAAAGUACGUGAAAUUGUUGAAAGGGAAGCGCUUGCAACCAGACCUGUCCGCAGGUGAUCAGCCGCCGUUCUCGGUGGUGCACUCGCCUGCGAUCAGGCCAGCAUCGGUUCGGGCGGUCGGAUAAAGGCCUUGGGAAUGUAGCUCCUCUCGGGGAGUCUUAUAGCCCUCGGUGCAAUGCGGCCAGCCCGGACCGAGGACCGCGCUCCGGCUAGGAUGCUGGCGUAAUGGUUGUAAGCGACCCGUCUUGAAACACGGACCAAGGAGUCUAACAUCUAUGCGAGUGUUUGGGUGUCAAACCCAUGCGCGGAAUGAAAGUGAACGGAGGUGAGAACCCUUUAGGGCGCAUCAUCGACCGAUCCAGAUGUCUUCGGAUGGAUUUGAGUAUGAGCAUAGCUGUUGGGACCCGAAAGAUGGUGAACUAUGCCUGAAUAGGGUGAAGCCAGAGGAAACUCUGGUGGAGGCUCGCAGCGGU